GAUUCACUAUCACACGUUCUUUUUUUUUUUGGAAGCCUAAGCCAACACACAAAAAGGCCUACCCUGAGGCCACCACAGUACCUGAGAAUCCAGAUCACAUUUACAUUCACUCUCUAAUUGACUGUUCUGGUUGAGGUCCCAACCCAUACCCAGCAUCAACCACCAGCUAUGUACGUGUAGAUGGCCACUUAUGAUCUGUAAAAUAAAUUCAUGAAUACAUAAAGGAGUCUCUGUUCUUGUAAUGAGGAGGGUAACUGAAAAGAAAUGGAUAAGUAAAAGGGAAAAUAUUGUACUAAGUUGUUUUAAUUUAUUUAAAUAUAACUCCUUAUUAUAUCCUACUCCAUUGAGUAUAAACUAAUUUUGUCUAUUGAAAUUGUUAAAUUACAUUUAAUAAUUGGACUUUUUAUUUAAAAGUCAAGCAUGGAGGAAUGUGUUAAUGAUUUUAGUCUCAAGUGACUACAUGCAGGGGAAAAUGACAUAUUGCAAAAUUAGUAAUAUAGCAACAUUGCCCACUGCAUGGAACCUUAGAAAAUUGUGAAGCAUAAAAAUAAUUGAGCAAAUUUUGGAAGGUUUUAUUUUUUCUUUCUCUCUUUUUUUUUUUCAAAUCCAAUCUAUAUCGGUGAUGAGCCCUGGAAUCCUUGCCGGUACUAUGCAGGAAUGGCCUUUUCUCUCUGGAGUACCAGAAUCACACUGUUUCAUUCAAAGACAGAAGAAGGAGCCAAGAAGGCUCUCAGUUCAUUCACCUCACAGUUCUGCAUUUGUACCUUUUGGAAAAAUGAACUCACAGUCUAUAGCAAAAAGAACUAGAAAGUAAAAAUUCAUGAAGAAAGAAACUGGACCAGAGUGAUACUAUCAUCAUAGCAGAAUAAGAAUUUUCUUCUGUCUUUCCUUUAAGACCACCAACUUAGACAAUCACCAAAGAACAAGAGAGCCUUGUGGACAUCCAGGAGUCCAGCAGAGAAUUUUCAACACACUAUUGAAGCAAAAAUUCAGAUGUUGGAUAGACUGAAGGGGAAUAUUUAGGUGUGCUGUGUGACAGUGGUGGGGAGCAACUCAGAAAUUAUCAGAAAGGACUCUCAGAGGGGACCAGAGGGACAUAAAUGUUACUAACUGCAUCACAGAAUCCAUCGAGAUGUCUGUCCAUGAGCCACAAGGGAUGGCAUUUGUAAGUUCUUACACAUCUGUAAUUAUUUAAAUUUAAAUUCAAUUCUUCAAUCAAGUGGCUGAAUGGAUAAUAAAACAAGGCUUAACUCUAUGCUGCUCA
rnacentral:lncRNA from 1 species